UACGUAGGGACCGAGCGUUGUCCGGAUUCAUUGGGCGUAAAGAGCUCGUAGGCGGCUGCUCAAGUCGAAUGUGAAAACCCGAGGCUCAACCUCGGGCCUGCAGUGGGUACGGGCAGACUAGAGUGCGGUAGGGGAGAUUGGAAUUCCUGGUGUAGCGGUGGAAUGCGCAGAUAUCAGGAGGAACACCAAUGGCGAAGGCAGAUCUCUGGGCCGUAACUGACGCUGAGGAGCGAAAGCAUGGGGAACGAACAGG
rnacentral:rRNA from 1 species